rnacentral:rRNA from 1 species
CCUACGGGCGGCAGCAGUGGGGAAUAUUGGACAAUGGGGGGAACCCUGAUCCAGCCAUGCCGCGUGUGUGAAGAAGGCCCUCGGGUUGUAAAGCACUUUCAGUGAGGAAGAACGCCUGGUGGUUAAUACCCAUCAGGAAGGACAUCACUCACAGAAGAAGCACCGGCUAACUCCGUGCCAGCAGCCGCGGUAAUACGGAGGGUGCGAGCGUUAAUCGGAAUUACUGGGCGUAAAGCGCGCGUAGGUGGCUUGAUAAGCCGGUUGUGAAAGCCCCGGGCUCAACCUGGGAACGGCAUCCGGAACUGUCAAGCUAGAGUGCAGGAGAGGAAGGUAGAAUUCCCGGUGUAGCGGUGAAAUGCGUAGAGAUCGGGAGGAAUACCAGUGGCGAAGGCGGCCUUCUGGACUGACACUGACACUGAGGUGCGAAAGCGUGGGUAGCAAACAGGAUUAGAUACCCGGGUAGUC